UAGAGAUAAGUAGGGCAGCCACUGUUGAUAAACUGCGGAACUCAAAGAAUACGGAUUCUAAAACAACAGACUCAACUGUUGCCAUGGCUACCAUUUAAUGCCUGUUUCUGUACGAUUUAGACACUGUCCUGAGAAGAUGAUAUAUCUCACUUAAUAAGAAAGAACCCCUGUGAAGCGUAUAUUAUUAUUCUUGUUUUAUAGAUGAGUCGGCUGAGCGCAAAGCAUUCCUAUUACGCGCACGUUGCUGUAUGUAUAGUGGACAGUUCUGCUCCCCUGCAGCUAACUCUGAAAUGAAGAAUAAAUAAAUAAAGUUUAAAAAAUAGAACUCUAGACUAGAGAUGGUUAUUUUAUCAUGAGUAUGGAUGACAUUUCCCUACAAGUAUUGUAAAGUGAAAGAAAAAGACACAGAAACUGGCCUGACUGCUCCGAUAUGUAAUGUGUGGGUGGAUAAGCCUUAGCAGAUCAUAAAAUUUGUGGAAUGGAAAAUUCAUUAAUGAGUGGAAUACGUGAUAAACUGAGUUUGUAGUUGGGGCAGGAUCAGCAUCUGGCAAAAUUAUCACACACGGGCUGUUUCUCUUUAACUUCUCUCCUGGAAAAGAUCACCAAAGUGAGAGAGCACAAGAAUUUGUUUUAUUCCAAAAGCAAAGGAAUUAUGUUGAAGAGCAAACAAAAUUGUUUGCCUUCUUUUUGUUCUCGUUUAAAACUUCUUUUUUCCCCAUGCUCCUGCUGAAACACAAAUUCUCAUCAAGCCUCAGUACCAGCCCGUCACCCUCACAUCGGAGGACACUCUGUGUCUUAUGAUGACCAACCUCUGACCAAUCGCUGCCCAAGAAGCCCAGGACACAGCUGAAGAGCGUAAUUGAAAACUCUAACUACAGGAUGGCUCCGGGGUUAACUAUUAAAACGGAAGAACUAAGGAGUGAGCUUACUAAAUUCUCUUUGACUGAGAGCAGGCAAGCAAGCAUCUGGACAAACAUGUCACCUGAAAUACACAGCAGCCCGAGGCUGCCUGAAAAAGAGAAGAAAUCCAAGAACAAAACUACCAAGAGCAUCUCUGGCUUAACUUAGUGAUUGUGAUUAAUCCAUCACCAGAAACCUUUUCCAGGUAUGAGCUGUCUUUCUGCGGCUGUCCUUGAGUAACCUUGCCUCUGUCUCACCCUAUCAGCUGAGACGCAUCAGCUUCUGGAGAUUCCUUUCCUGCUCGUUUACUUUUUUCAUUGCAAAUAAAUAAAGUGGCAAAGUUGCAAUUCACUGAAAAUAAUA